rnacentral:rRNA from 1 species
AACGAACGCUGGCGGCAGGCCUAACACAUGUAAGUCGAACGCCCCGCAAGGGGAGUGGCAGACGGGUGAGUAACACGUGGGAACCUUCCCUGUAGUACGGAAUAGCCCAGGGAAACUUGGAGUAAUACCGUAUACGCCCGAAAGGGGAAAGAAUUUCGCUAAAGGAUGGGCCCGCGUAGGAUUAGCUAGUUGGUGAGGUAAUGGCUCACCAAGGCGACGAGCCUUAGCUGGUUUGAGAGAACGACCAGCCACACUGGGACUGAGACACGGCCCAGACUCCUACGGGAGGCAGAAGUGGGGAAUAUUGAACAAUGGGCGCAAGCCUGAUCCAGCCAUGCCGCGUGAGUGAUGAAGGCCUUAGGGUUGUAAAGCUCUUUUGGCGGGGACGAUAAUGACGGUACCCGCAGAAUAAGUCCCGGCUAACUUCGUGCCAGCAGCCGCCGUAAAAC